rnacentral:rRNA from 1 species
AGCGAACGCUGGCGGCAGGCUUAACACAUGCAAGUCGAACGGGCAUCUUCGGAUGUCAGUGGCAGACGGGUGAGUAACACGUGGGAACGUACCCUUCGGUUCGGAAUAACUCAGGGAAACUUGAUAUAAUACCGGAUACGCCCUUUUGGGGAAAGGUUUACUGCCGAAGGAUCGGCGCGUGUCUGAUUAGCUUGGUGGUGGGGUAACGGGCUACCAAGGCGACGAUCAGUAGCUGGUCUGAGAGGAUGAUCAGCCACACUGGGACUGAGACACGGCCCAGACUCCUACGGGAGGCAGCAGUGGGGAAUAUUGGACAAUGGGCGCAAGCCUGAUCCAGCCAUGCCGCGUGAGUGAUGAAGGCCUUAGGGUUGUAAAGCUCUUUUGUCCGGGACGAUAAUGACGGUACCGGAAGAAUAAGCCCCGGCUAACUUCGUG